CCCUCCGGCCCAAGAGCUGCGCGCCGUGACAUUAUCGAAGACUAUGAAGACAUCCAUCCCCACGGCCCACUGCGGAGGGGGAUACCGCUCAACGACUUUGUCUCUCCGGAUGCCGUCUCUCGACCGGUCGCUUCAAAUCUGCUUUCUCCGCUGGAUUACACGACUGCUACAGAUGACAAACCUGUAGCAUCGGAGAAGCGUUCAACAACUGCAGAUGACAAAACUGUGGCAACAGGGAAGCGUUCAGAAAUAGCAGAACCACCACCUCUGCCUCCAAGGACCUAUAAGCUGCGGCCUGGGUACAAUCCAUUUUAGACCAAAAAUCGUCAUGAUACCAGCCUGUUGUUCUUAGUAAUCAUGACUAUCUAAGAUGUUUGUCAAUAGACUGUCCAUUGACUUGUGAUUGUUUUGAAACUUAGAGUGAAAGAUGACAAAUAUAAUGUAAACCAAUGUAACUAAAUCAAAUAACUGAAUGUACUUACAUGUAUAGACUUUUGUAUAUAAAAAAAUGUUGACUAUUGUUGUGAUGCUGAUAUUAGAGAUAAUUGUCUGUAAAACCUAAAAAUGAUGUUAAGUUUUUCAGUGACUUCAACCGCAUUCCAUAAACUACU